GCGUGCCUAAUACAUGCAAGUCGAACGAACUCUGGUAUUGAUUGGUGCUUGCAUCAUGAUUUACAUUUGAGUGAGUGGCGAACUGGUGAGUAACACGUGGGAAACCUGCCCAGAAGCGGGGGAUAACACCUGGAAACAGAUGCUAAUACCGCAUAACAACUUGGACCGCAUGGUCCGAGUUUGAAAGAUGGCUUCGGCUAUCACUUUUGGAUGGUCCCGCGGCGUAUUAGCUAGAUGGUGGGGUAACGGCUCACCAUGGCAAUGAUACGUAGCCGACCUGAGAGGGUAAUCGGCCACAUUGGGACUGAGACACGGCCCAAACUCCUACGGGAGGCAGCAGUAGGGAAUCUUCCACAAUGGACGAAAGUCUGAUGGAGCAACGCCGCGUGAGUGAAGAAGGGUUUCGGCUCGUAAAACUCUGUUGUUAAAGAAGAACAUAUCUGAGAGUAACUGUUCAGGUAUUGACGGUAUUUAACCAGAAAGCCACGGCUAACUACGUGCCAGCAGCCGCGGUAAUACGUAGGUGGCAAGCGUUGUCCGGAUUUAUUGGGCGUAAAGCGAGCGCAGGCGGUUUUUUAAGUCUGAUGUGAAAGCCUUCGGCUCAACCGAAGAAGUGCAUCGGAAACUGGGAAACUUGAGUGCAGAAGAGGUCCAUGUGUAGCGGUGAAAUGCGUAGAUAUAUGGAAGAACACCAGUGGCGAAGGCGGCUGUCUGGUCUGUAACUGACGCUGAGGCUCGAAAGUAUGGGUAGCAAACAGGAUUAGAUACCCUGGUAGUCCAAAGUGUUGGAGGGUUUCCGCCCUUCAGUGCUGCAGCUAACGCAUUAAGCAUUCCGCCUGGGGAGUACGGCCGCAAGGCUGAAACUCAAAGGAAUUGACGGGGGCCCGCACAAGCGGUGGAGCAUGUGGUUUAAUUCGAAGCUACGCGAAGAACCUUACCAGGUCUUGACAUACUAUGCAAAUCUAAGAGAUUAGACGUUCCCUUCGGGGACAUGGAUACAGGUGGUGCAUGGUUGUCGUCAGCUCGUGUCGUGAGAUGUUGGGUUAAGUCCCGCAACGAGCGCAACCCUUAUUAUCAGUUGCCAGCAUUAAGUUGGGCACUCUGGUGAGACUGCCGGUGACAAACCGGAGGAAGGUGGGGAUGACGUCAAAUCAUCAUGCCCCUUAUGACCUGGGCUACACACGUGCUACAAUGGAUGGUACAACGAGUUGCGAACUCGCGAGAGUAAGCUAAUCUCUUAAAGCCAUUCU
rnacentral:rRNA from 1 species